rnacentral:rRNA from 1 species
GAUGAACGCUGGCGGCGUGCCUAAUACAUGCAAGUCGAGCGAACGGACGAGAAGCUUGCUUCUCUGAUGUUAGCGGCGGACGGGUGAGUAACACGUGGAUAACCUACCUAUAAGACUGGGAUAACUUCGGGAAACCGAAGCUAAUACCGGAUAAUAUUUUGAACCGCAUGGUUCAAAAGUGAAAGACGGUCUUGCUGUCACUUAUAGAUGGAUCCGCGCUGCAUUAGCUAGUUGGUAAGGUAACGGCUUACCAAGGCAACGAUGCAUAGCCGACCUGAGAGGGUGAUCGGCCACACUGGAACUGAGACACGGUCCAGACUCCUACGGGAGGCAGCAGUAGGGAAUCUUCCGCAAUGGGCGAAAGCCUGACGGAGCAACGCCGCGUGAGUGAUGAAGGUCUUCGGAUCGUAAAACUCUGUUAUUAGGGAAGAACGUAUGUGUAAGUAACUGUGCACAUCUUGACGGUACCUAAUCAGAAAGCCACGGCUAACUACGUGCCAGCAGCCGCGGUAAUACGUAGGUGGCAAGCGUUAUCCGGAAUUAUUGGGCGUAAAGCGCGCGUAGGCGGUUUUUUAAGUCUGAUGUGAAAGCCCACGGCUCAACCGUGGAGGGUCAUUGGAAACUGGAAAACUUGAGUGCAGAAGAGGAAAGUGGAAUUCCAUGUGUAGCGGUGAAAUGCGCAGAGAUAUGGAGGAACACCAGUGGCGAAGGCGACUUUCUGGUCUGUAACUGACGCUGAUGUGCGAAAGCGUGGGGAUCAAACAGGAUUAGAUACCCUGGUAGUCCACGCCGUAAACGAUGAGUGCUAAGUGUUAGGGGGUUUCCGCCCCUUAGUGCUGCAGCUAACGCAUUAAGCACUCCGCCUGGGGAGUACGACCGCAAGGUUGAAACUCAAAGGAAUUGACGGGGACCCGCACAAGCGGUGGAGCAUGUGGUUUAAUUCGAAGCGACGCGAAGAACCUUACCAAAUCUUGACAUCCUUUGACAACUCUAGAGAUAGAGCUUUCCCCUUCGGGGGACAAAGUGACAGGUGGUGCAUGGUUGUCGUCAGCUCGUGUCGUGAGAUGUUGGGUUAAGUCCCGCAACGAGCGCAACCCUUAAGCUUAGUUGCCAUCAUUAAGUUGGGCACUCUAAGUUGACUGCCGGUGAUAAACCGGAGGAAGGUGGGGAUGACGUCAAAUCAUCAUGCCCCUUAUGAUUUGGGCUACACACGUGCUACAAUGGACAAUACAAAGGGCAGCGAAACCGCGAGGUCAAGCAAAUCCCAUAAAGUUGUUCUCAGUUCGGAUUGUAGUCUGCAACUCGACUACAUGAAGCUGGAAUCGCUAGUAAUCGUAGAUCAGCAUGCUACGGUGAAUACGUUCCCGGGUCU